rnacentral:rRNA from 1 species
UACGGAGGGUGCAAGCGUUAAUCGGAAUUACUGGGCGUAAAGCGCACGCAGGCGGUCUGUCAAGUCGGAUGUGAAAUCCCCGGGCUCAACCUGGGAACUGCAUUCGAAACUGGCAGGCUAGAGUCUUGUAGAGGGGGGUAGAAUUCCAGGUGUAGCGGUGAAAUGCGUAGAGAUCUGGUGGAAUACCGGUGGCGAAGGCGGCCCCCUGGACAAAGACUGACGCUCAGGUGCGAAAGCGUGGGGAGCAAACAGGAUUAGAUACCCUGGUAGUCCACGCCGUAAACGAUGUCGAUUUGGAGGUUGUGCCCUUGAGGCGUGGCUUCCGGCGCUAACGCGUUAAUUCGACCGCCUGGGGAGUACGGCCGCAAGGUUAAA